AAUUGGAUAACUAAUUAAGCUACAAUUUAAUUUGAUUCCUUCUUCUCUUACUCAAUCAACUGUCUACAAUUUAAUUCUCUUUCUAAAUUGUCUUUCUAUCUUCUUUUUUCAUCAUCAUCUCACUUUUUCUUCAUUCUCCUUACCUUUAAGGUGGAAGAGAGAAAAAAAAUCUUUCCUCUUCUAACCUCUUUUUCGUUUUUUUUUCAAAUGUUCGCAAUUUUUUUCACAUCUUUCAUCGUUAAUCGUUAAUCACUUAACUGUUAAACCACUUUGAUUGUCAACAAUUAACUUCCAUCGUCUUCGGUUAAUCACCCAACCUGUUGAAUGUAAGCUAACCCAAUGUUCACCUGUUAAUCUCUAUGGACAUGAUUGUACAAUUGAAUUGAUACUCUUUAAUUGUUGUUCCAUUGAUGGUCAUAUAUUUCUGUUUUCAUGGUUCCUUUAAUCUGAUGUUUUGGUGGAUUGAUGAAUCCACAAGGAGAUUAACAAUCAAAUAGAUUCAAGAAUUCAAAUUAAAUUAUGAAUCGGAUUUACAACAAUUGGACUGGAAUCGAAUUGAUUUUUUAACAAGAUGCUGAUUUCAGAGGAAAAAGAUGAUUAUUUUGGUUGAGAAAAUUGAGAAAAAAACA